AUUGAACGCUGGCGGCAUGCCUUACACAUGCAAGUCGAACGGCAGCGGACCUUCGGGUGCCGGCGAGUGGCGAACGGGUGAGUAAUAUAUCGGAACGUACCUUUCAGUGGGGGAUAACGUAGCGAAAGUUACGCUAAUACCGCAUAUUCUGUGAGCAGGAAAGCAGGGGGAUCGCAAGACCUUGCGCUGAUUGAGCGGCCGAUAUCAGAUUAGCUAGUUGGUGAGGUAAAGGCUCACCAAGGCGACGAUCUGUAGCGGGUCUGAGAGGAUGAUCCGCCACACUGGAACUGAGACACGGUCCAGACUCCUACGGGAGGCAGCAGUGGGGAAUUUUGGACAAUGGGCGCAAGCCUGAUCCAGCCAUGCCGCGUGGGUGAAGAAGGCCUGGUGUAAG
rnacentral:rRNA from 1 species